rnacentral:rRNA from 1 species
UAGGGAAUUUUCGUCAAUGGGGGCAACCCUGAACGAGCAAUGCCGCGUGAGUGAAGAAGGUCUUCGGAUUGUAAAGCUCUGUUGCCGGGGAAAAAGGAAGGAAAGAGGAAAUGCUUUUCUUUGGAUGGUACCCGGCCAGAAAGUCACGGCUAACUACGUGCC